rnacentral:rRNA from 1 species
CCUACGGGUGGCAGCAGUGAGGAAUAUUGCUCAAUGGCCGAGACGCUGAAGCAGCAACGCCGCGUGGAGGAUGAAGGCUUUCGGGUUGUAAACUCCUUUUGUUAGAGAAGAUAAUAACGGUAUCUAACGAGUCAGCACCGUCUAACUCCGUGACAGCAGCCGCAGUAAUACGGAGGGUGCAAGCGUUCCUCGGAAUAACUGGGCUUAAAGAGCGCGUAGGCGGGAUAGCAGGUCAGAUGGGAAAUCCUCUGGCUUAACCAGAGAACUGCAUUUGAAACUGUUAUUCUAGAGUAUGCGAGAGGUAGGUGGAAUGCGUGGUGUAGGGGUAAAAUCCGUAGAGAUCAAGAGGAAUACUCAUUGCGAAGGCGACCUGCUAGAACAUAACUGACGCUGAUGCGCGAAAGCGUGGGGAGCAAACAGGAUUAGAUACCCCUGUAGUC